rnacentral:lncRNA from 1 species
GGCUGGAGGCCAAAGCCUUCAGCAGCCGGUGAGCGGUACAGGGCGGUAGGGGUGACAGGAGGGCUCAGGUGCGUGCAGCUGGGCUUAGGUGAGUGCAGGCGCCAGGCUGCCACGCCCACCACGCCGCCCUCACGCUCCCCCAGCAUCGUGGAGAACCUGGGCAUACUGACCGGGCCUCAGCUGUUCUCACUCAACAAGGACGAGCUGAAGAAGGUGUGCGGGGAGGAGGGCGUCCGCGUGUACAGCCAGCUCACGGUGCAAAAGGCUGUCCUGGAGACACAGCAGAGCGGCUCAGAGCUGGAGGAACUCAUGAGCAAGUUUCAUUCCAAGAGCCAGAGGAGGGUGGAGGACAGCUAGACCUGGCUGCACGGCCGCCUGCUUCGUGGAGGAGUGCAGGCUGUGCUGGGCCCACCCACACAUGGGCUGUUAUCUUUGUGGGUGGAUUAUUUUAUAUCAAGGACUUGGGGGCCGAGAGGGGGUCACCUGCAUCCAGGCCCAGGCCUGGCCAGGUCCCUUGCCCCCAUACUAAGGACCAGCCAAACCUGUGCCCACCCCUGGGGCCUCAGCCUCCUGUCCCAGGCCACAGAGCUCCCCAGGGGACGGGUCUCCUCUGCUGGCCUCCCGUGCAUGGAAUGCUCCUGGCCGCUGUGAUGCUGACCCCCAGUCUGCCGACUUCUCCAUCUACCUGUCCGUCUGAUCCCCACACUGCAAGAGUGGUUGGAGCUCAGAGCUGGCUGGGCUGGUGUCCUGGGCUCCCGAUUUGUCCCCCACCCCGGGUGCUGCUUGGCAAGGGCAGCUGGGGAAGGGGCUCCAGGACCCUGUCAAGGUCUGAGGGUAGACUGGACACGAGGACUGGCCUCUGACACCUGACCCACAGAGCCCCGGAAGGACUGUCCCCUGACAUGUCCCAGGCCAGUGGAGCCCGGCCGCUGUGCUGGUGGCUGUGCCUCGGGGCUCCGGACCGAGUGUCACAGCCAGAGAUAAGACAGCGGGGCUCUGAGGCCACGGCAUUAAAACAGUUGUCUUCUCGAAGCAGAGUGUCUGUCUCCUAGGGCUGGGGUCCAGGGCCCCCCAAGGCUGCAUCAUUUCUGAGAACUCGGGCAGAGGGCAGGGCUGAAAAAGCUGAGGAGCCUGGGGGACAUUUCCAGGAGGCGAGAGUCUGGGGGGGCCGGG